GGCCAGACUCCUACGGGAGGCAGCAGUGGGGGAUAUUGCACAAUGGGGGGAACCCUGAUGCAGCGACGCCGCGUGGGUGAAGAAGCGCCUCGGUGCGUAAAGCCCUGUCAGCAGGGAAGAAAAUGACGGUACCUGAAGAAGAAGCCCCGGCUAACUACGUGCCAGCAGCCGCGGUAAUACGUAGGGGGCAAGCGUUAUCCGGAUUUACUGGGUGUAAAGGGGGCGCAGACGGCGAUGCAAGCCAGGAGUGAAAGCCCGGGGCCCAACCCCGGGACUGCUCUGGAAACUGUAAAGCUGGAGUGCGGGAGGGGCAGGCGGAAUUCCUGGUGUAGCGGUGAAAUGCGUAGAUAUCAGGAGGAACACCGGCGGCGAAGGCGGCUUACUGGACUGUAACUGACGUUGAGGCUCGAAAGCGUGGGGAGCAAACAGGAUUAGAUACCCCCGUA
rnacentral:rRNA from 1 species